rnacentral:rRNA from 1 species
GAUGAACGCUGGCGGCAUGCUUUACACAUGCAAGUCGGACGGGCAGUGGUGUUUCCUGUGGCGGACGUGUGAGUAACGCGUAAGAACCUGCCCUUGGGAGGGGCACAACAGCUGGAAACGGCUGCUAAUACCCCGUAGGCCGAGGAGCGAAAGGAGGAAUCCGCCCGAGGGGGGGCUCGCGUCUGACUAGCCAGGUGGUGAGGUAAUAGCUGACCAAGGCCGUGAUCAGUAGCUGGUCCGAGAGGAUGAUCAGCCACACUGGGACGGAGACAAGGACCAGACUCCUACGGGAGGCAGCAGUGGGGAUGUCGCAGCAAUGGGCGAAAGCCUGACGGGGCAAUGCCGCGUGGAGGUAAAAGGCCUAGGGAUCAUGAACUUCUUAUCCUGGAGAAGAAACAAUGACGGUAUCUGGGGAAUAAGCAUCGGCUAACUCUGUG